rnacentral:rRNA from 1 species
AUUGAACGCUGGCGGCAUGCCUUACACAUGCAAGUCGAACGGUAACAGGUCUUCGGAUGCUGACGAGUGGCGAACGGGUGAGUAAUACAUCGGAACGUGCCUAGUAGUGGGGGAUAACUACUCGAAAGAGUGGCUAAUACCGCAUGAGAUCUACGGAUGAAAGCAGGGGAUCGCAAGACCUUGUGCUACUAGAGCGGCCGAUGGCAGAUUAGGUAGUUGGUGGGAUAAAAGCUUACCAAGCCGACGAUCUGUAGCUGGGCUGAGGGGACGAUCAGCCACACUGGGACUGCGACACGGCCCAGACUCCUACGGGAGGCAGCAGUGGGGAAUUUUGGACAAUGGGCGCAAGCCUGAUCCAGCAAUGCCGCGUGCAGGAUGAAGGCCUUCGGGUUGUAAACUGCUUUUGUACGGAACGAAAAGCCUUGGGUUAAUACCCUGGGGUCAUGACGGUACCGUAAGAAUAAGCACCGGCUAACUACGUGCCAGCAGCCGCAGUAAAAC